rnacentral:lncRNA from 1 species
UUCUGGGUCUUCCUCUUGGUGCCAUCGUUGAUGCUUCACGCUAUAAAAAUGAAAAACACACUAAGAUCUGACGUUACUGACGCCGCCCAAAGAGGUUGUUGAAUUUAUUUAUUUAUUUUUUUUUUUUAUGAAUUUAAACCCUAAGUUUGAGCCCACAUCGGCUUAAAAAGAAGAAAACAAACGAAAAGAACGGAAAAAUUGAAAGAGACGUUCAAUCUGAGUGAAGUUCAAAGCAGGAGAGCUCCAACAGACGAAACUUGUGUGUAUGCAUGCCUGUGCAUAUGUGCAAACAAUAAGAGAGUACGUUAUAUAUUGUAUGACAAAUGGCAUUCAACCACCGUUUGAGCAUUUUUCUUUUCGGAUUUUCUAAUUGUGAUUUUUGAAUAACGUGAGGGUUAAAAAGUAUACAAAUUUUUGAAUUUACAUGUUGUUUCGCGCGGGUAGUCG